ACCUGCCCUAUGAAUAAUUUAUUUUUAAAUGGCUGCGGUAUUUUGACCGUGCAAAGGUAGCAUAAUAAUUAGUUUCUUAAUUAGGAACUGGAAUGAAUGGUCGAACGAGAAAAAUACUGUCUCAAUUUAAUUUAAAUUAGAAUUUUAUUUUUAAGUAAGAAAGCUUAAAUAUACUUAAAAGACGAGAAGACCCUAUAGAGUUUUAUAUUAAUAAUUAUAGUUAGAAGUUAAAGUAUUAUAGAGUUGACUAUAAUGAUUAAUAUUUGGUUGGGGCGAUUAAAAAAUUUAAUGAACUUUUUUUAGAUUAAACCAUUGAUUUAUGAAUAAGUGAGCCAUAUUUUAUGAUUAUAAGAUU
rnacentral:rRNA from 1 species